rnacentral:rRNA from 1 species
GCUUACGGCCAUAUCAGCCUGGGUACGCCCGAUCUCGUCUGAUCUCGGAAGCUAAGCAGGGUCGGGCCUGGUUAGUACUUGGAUGGUAGACCGCCUGGGAAUACCAGGUGCUGUAAGCA